GUCAGCACACAGCUUGAGUUGCAUCAGGUAAGAGGUUCCUUGUCACAGCCGGGAAGAUGAAGACUGUGUUGGUGCUCGUGGCUGGCCUGAGCCUCCUGCUGGUGGCCACGGAGGCCGCUCCUGCAUCUGGCGCCGUGGAGCUGUUCUCCUCCCUGCCGGAGUCACGGGUGGAGAGAUCUGCUCUCGGAAGAUGCUGCCCCUGCCCGGAGAUCAUCCGCACCACCAUCAUCAUCAUCGAGACCACCAGAUACCCAACUCGAAGUGGCGCCGGCGGCUUCGGCGGCUCGCGCCAGUGCUGCCCCUGUAGGCCCCACGGAUAACACCGUGCGAUGUAUACAGCUUCUCCCUCAUCUGCCUUCAUGGUCUCUCCAUACAUGGGCCAGAGACGUUGUCGUGUUCCCGUAAUACUGACAUGGGGGUGGAGUAUAGUUAGGUUAUCCUCAGAUAAUAAUAAUAAUAAUAAUUUUUAUUUAGGUAAGGUACAUACAUACAAGAGAUUUUACAAAGUUUGUUGGAUUAAUAGAUAGAGCUGGUACAUACAAUGCCUAUCUGUCUACAAAGAUGAGGCACCCUGUGCCUCAUACGUCUACAAGCACCCAUACGUCUACAAGAUGAGGGAACCAUGGGUAUCAAUAUCCAGAAAUAGUCAGUAAGUUCUUAUUGCUUGUACAGUUACUGGUACCUGUUACCACCUUGUAGCCAGCAUCUGUGCUGACCUAGACAGUGCCUCUUACAGCUCUAGUCUCAGUACUUACGGACUUUAUUUGUGAAUAAAAGAAAUGUAACCCUU
rnacentral:misc_RNA from 1 species